AGUCAGCUGGAGGCGUGUCUUAAUGAAAUUAAACAAUGGAUGUCCGCUAAUUUUUUGCAACUCAACGCCAAAAAAACUUUCACAGUAUCAUGUUAGACCCGCUCGACAUCCAUUGCUUUCCUCCUCUCCAAGGUUCUCAUAGUCAUCAUUGUCACCGACGUCCCACUGGGUGUGAGUUUUCCUUGCCCUUAUGUGGGCCUACCGAGGAUGUCGUAGUGGUUUGUGCAGCCCUUUGAGACACUAGUGAUUUAGGGCUGUAUAAGUAAACAUUGAUUGAUUGAUUGAUAUAUGUCGCACUAGAGCAGGGGUCACCAACCUUUUUGAAACCAAGAGCUACUUCUUGGGUACUGAUUAAUGUGAAGGGCUACCAGUUUGAUACACACUUAAUUAAAUUGCCAGAAAUAGCCAGUUUGCUCGAUUUACCUUUAACUCUAUGUUAUUAAUAAUAAUUAUAUUUAUCUUUGUGGAAACACUGAUCAUCUUAAUGAUUUCUCACAAUAAAUAUAUAUAGAAACAGAUAAAUAUAAAAAAAAAAAAAAGGUAGUUCUGUCUGUCAUUCCGUCGUACAUUUUUUUUCCUUCUACGGAAGGUUUUUUGUAGAGAAUAAAUGAUGGAAAAAACACUAAAUCGAACGGUUUAAAAGAGGAGAAAAUACAAUUUUGAAACAUAGUUUGUAUUCAAUUUCGAGUCUUUAAAAUUCAAAAUUCAACCAGAAAAAAAAGAAGAGAAAAACCAGCUAAUUUGACUCCUUUUGAAAAAAUUAAAAAUAGAAUUUAUGGAACAUCUUUAGUAAUUUUUCCUGAUUAAGAUUAAUUUUAGAAUUUUGAAGACAUGUUUUAAAUAGGUUAAAAUCCAAUCUGCACUUUGUUAGAAUAUAUAACAAAUUGGACCAAGCUAUAUUUCUAACAGACAAAUCAUUAUUUCUUCUAAAUUUUCCAGAACAAAAAGUUUUAAAAGAAAUUCAAAAGACUUUGAAGUAAGAUUUAAAUUUGAUUCCACAGAUUUUCUAGAUUUGCCAGAAUAAUUUUUGGGGGAAUUUUAAUCAUAAUAAGUUUGAAGAAAUAUUUCACAAAUAUUCUUCGUCGAAAAAACAGAAGCCAAAAUGAAUAAUUAAAUUAAAAUGUAUUUAUUAUUCUUUACAAUAAAAAAUAAAUGUACUUGAACAUUGAUUUAAAUUGUCAGGAAAGAAGAGGAAGGAAUUUAAAAGGUAAAAAGGUAUAUGUUUAAAAAUCCUAAAAUCAUUUUUAAGGUUGUAUUUUUUCUCUAAAAUUGUCUGAAAGUUAUAAGACGCAAAGUAAAAAAAAUGUUUUAUUUAUUUAAACAAGACCAAGUCUUUCAAAUAUUUUCUUGGAUUUUCAAUUUCUAUUUGAGUUUUGUCUCUCUUAGAAUUAAAAAUGUCGAGCAAAACGAGACCAGCUUGCUAGUAAAUAAAUACAAUUAAAAAAAUAGAGGCAGCUCACUGGUAAGUGCUGCUAUUUGAGCUAUUUUUAGAACAGGCCUACGGGCGACCUGGUGGCCGCGGGCACCACGUUGGUGACCCCUGGAAUAGAAUAUAAAUCGCAUUUUUGGGGGAAAUGUAUUUGAUAAAAAGCAACAGCAAGAAUAGACACUUAAAAGGCAAUUUAAAAUAAAUAAAGAAUAGUGAACAAUAGGCUGAAUAAAUGUAGGUUAUAUGAGGCAUAAAUAAGCAACUGCUAUGUUAACCUAACAUAUUAUGGUAAGAGUCAUUCAAAUAACUAUAACAUAUAGAACAUGCUAUACCUUUACCAAACUAUCUCUCACUCCUAAUCCAUAAAUCCCAUGAAAUAUUCUUCCUUGAUGUCGCUUUUAAACAACUCUGCCAACUCCAAAAGGUACGCGCCGGCAUGGAUUUUGCCAAAACUUAAAAGACAUUGAAUACAAUGUCCACCGCCAUUUUUCAUGCAAAUGCAAUCGGGAACAAAAAAAGAUAACAAAACAAACCACUUGACCCACUUUUUCUAAUAGUCUAGUUCAGGAUGUUGAAUUUUUAUUGAAGUGCAAAUUUUGCUCAUGUAUAUUGACAGUCCAUUUGAUUUAGAUUUACCUAUUUAGGAUAAUUAAAUUAUUGACCUUUCAAUUACAAUAGUGCAAAAAUACUAGUAAUGGAAAAUAUGUUUGAAAUGGUUACUUGCUAUAUAUUAUGAUUAUAUUCAUGCUUAAUUCAGACACAGUUAUUGUAAACUUUUCAACUAUUCUACAUUAAUAUCACCAAAUGCUUACAAUUGUGUCUGCUUUUGACUACAUGUAAUAAACUGCAGUAGGACAUGGGCAUCUGCAGUCCUCUCCAAGGUUUCUCAUUGUCAUCCCACUGGGUUGAGUUUUUCCUUGCCCUGAUGUAGGACCUGAGCCGAGGAUGUCGUUGUGGCUUGUGCAGCCCUUUGAGACACUGGUGAUUUAGGGCUAUAAAAGGUAAACAUUGAUUGACUGCAAAAGAAGCCAGCAUGGGGCCAAACGGAGUUGCGAGUGCCAGCACAAGAUGCACUGUAGUAUUUAAAAGUGUGUACACAGGUGGCGUCUGUGUGGCCCUGCUCCCUCUCUGGCAUGGACGUCUUCUCCAAGUAAGGUAAAAGUCAUGUUAUAUGUUUUCUUUUUUUAUUCUUCAUUUAUAUCUAUUUUGCAGUGUUUUCAGCAUGUAAAAAUUAAUUAUAACACGUUUUGUGUUGAUAUUUGUGGGUGUUGAAGAGAUACAUUUUUUCUUACGUUUUACUACACCUUCUUUGUUGGACCUCUCAAAUAGAUUAUUACUGUAGAUAAAGUGAGGGUACAUGAUACGGUAGCAUGGAUGCGUUAUGGAACACAAGGAGUGAUACUGUGUACCUCGAUGUGUGUAUCACUUUAAGAAAGAAAAAAAAACGUGAUUGAUACAGCUGCUGUGAAGCCUACCAGGGACAGGUCCUCCUGGAAGAAGUCAGAGUAGCGUGCAGCGUCAAAAACAACAAUGGAACUAAGAAAAAGGAAAGGUUGCUGAUAAGGGAUCGUCACUUCCGGUGCACGUCGGCAGAUGACACGUCAUCAUACGGACGUCGAGGAGGGACAAAAGUCAAAGGACGGAUUGCGUCAUCAUACGGGCGCCGAGGAGGGACAAAACUCAAGUGAUUGCGCACCCACGGCUGCAGACAAUUAAGUACACAUCGCCAAACAACUACGGUGGAGGAAGGCCCUGGAAACUACUCCUCAUUUUGCCGGGAUUACAGAAACAACCAGGCCAAGCGGUGGUGGGGUUCCCAGGAAGCAGCAGGAGGCAGCAUGCAGAUGGAGGCCAGGAGGCGGAGCAUGCAGCAGAGAGGAGAGGCGUGACAGACUCGGAGCGAUGCUGCAGCAAGAAUAAAAGGGGUGAAGGAGGCAGGAGUAGUAGGAGACAACCAGACGGAGGAACAGACGAGCGAGAACCACAGAGAGCCACAGAGCGACCGAGACGAGCACAUUCCAAUCACCCAGCGCUAGCAGAGAAGGAGGCACUGAAAAAAGCGACCGACUUACUGCCAACGACGUAUAUUUGAAAAAA